GCCCGGGUGGUGAAACUGGUAGACACAGGAGACUUAAAAUCUUCCGGCCGCAAGGCCUUGCGGGUUCGAUUCCCGCCCCGGGCACCA
rnacentral:tRNA from 1 species